rnacentral:rRNA from 1 species
GUAGGUGGCAAGCGUUGUCCGGGAAUUAUUGGGGCGUAAAGCGCGCGCAGGCGGUUUCUUAAGGUCUGAUGUGAAAGCCCACGGGCUCAACCGUGGAGGGUCAUUGGAAACUGGGGAACUUGAGUACAGAAGAGGAAAGUGGAAUUCCACGUGUAGCGGUGAAAUGCGUAGAGAUGUGGAGGAACACCAGUGGCGAAGGCGACUUUCUGGUCUGUAACUGACGCUGAGGCGCGAAAGCGUGGGGAGCAAACAGGAUUAGAUACCCUGGUAGUCCACGCCGUAAACGAUGAGUGCUAAGUGUUAGAGGGUUUCCGCCCUUUAGUGCUGCAGCUAACGCAUUAAGCACUCCGCCUGGGGAGUACGGUCGCAAAGACUG